rnacentral:rRNA from 1 species
ACUCCUACGGGAGGCAGCAGUGGGGAAUAUUGCACAAUGGGGGAAACCCUGAUGCAGCCAUGCCGCGUGUGUGAAGAAGGCCUUCGGGUUGUAAAGCACUUUCAGUAGGGAGGAAGGUAGUGUAGUUAACACCUGCAUUAUUUGACGUUACCUACAGAAGAAGCACCGGCUAACUCCGUGCCAGCAGCCGCGGUAAUACGUAGGGUGCAAGCGUUGUCCGGAUUUAUUGGGUUUAAAGGGUGCGUAGGCGGCUGAUUAAGUUAGUGGUGAAAUCGUGAGGCUCAACCUCAUACCCGCCAUUGAUACUGAUCAGCUUGAGUAUGUUCGAGGAAGUUAGAACGCGUAGUGUAGCGGUGAAAUGCAUAGAUAUUACGCAGAAUACCAAUUGCGAAGGCAGACUUCUGGGACACAACUGACGCUGAGGCACGAAAGCGUGGGGAGCGAACAGGAUUAGAUACCCUGGUAGGAUAG